rnacentral:ncRNA from 1 species
CAAAGGCAUGGUCCCGACCUUUUAAUCAGCUUUAACCUGACUUACACAUGCAAGUCUCCGCAGCCCUGUGAGCAUGCCCUCAAUCCCCUCAUUUGGGGACGAGGAGCGGGUAUCAGGCACAAGAAUUAGCCCAAGACACCUAGCCCAGCCACGCCCCCAAGGGGAUCCAGCAGUGAUAAACAUUUAGCAAUAAGCGAAAGCUUGACUCAGUUAAGGUUACCAAGGGCCGGUAAAACUCGUGCCAGCAACCGCGGUUAGACGAGGGGCCCCAGUUGAUUAGCCCACGGCGUAAAGGGUGGUCAUGGAUAUCAGAAAAUAAAGCCAAAUAGCCCCUUGGCCGUCAUACGCUCCUGGGAGCCAGAAGCCCAAACACGAAAGUAGCUUUAAAAACUGCCUGAAUCCACGAAAGCUAAGAAACAAACUGGGAUUAGAUACCCCACUAUGCUUAGCCAUAAACCAAGACACAUAACUACAACGAUGUCCGCCUGGAUACUACGAGCGCUAGCUUAAAACCCAAAGGACCUGACGGUGUAUUAGAUCCCCCUAGAGGAGCCUGUUCUAGAACCGAUUAUCCACGUUUAACCUCACCACUUCUAGUUUUAACCAGCCUAUAUACCGCCGUCGCCAGCUUACCCUGUGAAGGGAAAGAAGUAAGCAAGAUGGGCACAGCCAAAAACGUCAGGUCGAGGUGUAGCACAUGAAGUGGGAAGAAAUGGGCUACAUUUUCUACCCCAGAUUAUUACGAAGGAAUAAUGUGAAAUACAUACCAGAAGGAGGAUUUAGAAGUAAAAAGGAAGCAGAGUGUCCUUUUGAACCCGGCUCUAAGACGCGUACACACCGCCCGUCACUCCCCCCGGUCUAAAUGCGAUAGAACAUACCUAAUAAGAUAGCACUGACGAGGGGGGAAAAGUCGUAACAAGGUAAGUGUACCGGAAGGUGCACUUGGAUCAAACC